GGCACAGGUCAGUACUUCUGUUUUUCCAUGGAAAUCACAUUCUAAAUAUCAAAAGGAAUGUGAGGACAACAAAAAGACAAAUUAAUUUGCUCUGCUGAAGGGUGGAUUUUUGUAAUGAAAUGAGCAGGGUGUUAUAAAGCAGAAAUGAUCUGAUGAUGCACAGCAAUGAUUUAUCUGCUCAGCAGAGAUUACAAACAAAAAAGACCCCUGGCUUUGCUGCUGUUGCUGGCCAGUGCCAGGAUAAACGAUGAUGAACAUUCCCAUUGACAUGUGGAAAAAAACACUUGUUUAAAGAGAAGGAUUUGCAGAGCAGGCUUCUUGCCUCCCCUCUGUUGAACUUUCCUGCUGGUGGCUCUGAAUGCAAAGAAGCUAUGAAGACUUCACCUCCAUGUUGUGCUACCUCCUGUGUCAUUUGCAAGCAAUGAGGACAGACACGUGGUUCAGACAUGGAACCAAGUUCAAGUGCAAAAGCUCAGCACUGCAUGCUGAGGGCUCUCUCACAGCCCCGACACCCCAGGUUCUGCCUCUCCGGUGUUGCCGUUGUCCCUUUCGUGGGUGAUGUUUACUGCCUCUCAGGAGUGAGAGAAGCACCAUCUCUGGAGCAGAUAUCUCUGAAGGAAACAGGAGCUGCUGUUCUGUGGCAUUCGUCCUGUAAAUCCAGAUACAUUUUUUCUUUGUACUUUUUCAAGAUUGUAUUUACAAAACAUUUGAAGAACAGGCGCAAUGACAGUUUAAUUAACGUGUGUCAUUAAGCCUGGAGAUAAUCGAAACUCUGGUAAGUCUUUAAUCUUGUAGAAAAGAAUCAGAGUGCGCUGAAACAUCUCCUGCUAUCUGUGAACCUCAUAAUGUGAUGCUGCAUCCUUAAGGGAGGAGCCAUGGAAAGGAACAGCGCCAGAAGAUGUGUUCUCAGCAGAUUUCAUCACUGGACUCGAGGGAUAUUGUUCUUGGCAAGGAGGAUGUGACUGAAAUCCAAAGGGAUCAAAACGUGUUCUUCUGCUAUCAGUGUAUAAAGUGGCCCUACUAAUUUGUGGAGAUUUAGCUUCUUUGC
ensembl:lncRNA